rnacentral:rRNA from 1 species
CCUACGGGUGGCUGCAGUGGGGAAUAUUGGACAAUGGGCGAAAGCCUGAUCCAGCCAUGCCGCGUGUGUGAAGAAGGCCUUCGGGUUGUAAAGCACUUUCAGUGGGGAAGAAAGCCUUGGGGCUAAUACCCUCGAGGAAGGACAUCACCCACAGAAGAAGCACCGGCUAACUCCGUGCCAGCAGCCGCGGUAAUACGGAGGGUGCGAGCGUUAAUCGGAAUUACUGGGCGUAAAGCGCGCGUAGGCGGUCUGAUAAGCCGGUUGUGAAAGCCCCGGGCUCAACCUGGGAACGGCAUCCGGAACUGUCAGGCUAGAGUGCAGGAGAGGAAGGUAGAAUUCCCGGUGUAGCGGUGAAAUGCGUAGAGAUCGGGAGGAAUACCAGUGGCGAAGGCGGCCUUCUGGACUGACACUGACGCUGAGGUGCGAAAGCGUGGGUAGCAAACAGGAUUAGAUACCCCGGUUGUC